rnacentral:tRNA from 1 species
GGGCCCGUCGCCUAGCCAGGAUAGGGCGCCGGCCUCCUAAGCCGGAGGCCCGGGGUUCGAAUCCCCGCGGGCCCGCCUUCCCUUUUCAGACACCUGAUUAAAAACACCGAUAGAGAUCGUUCAAUUUUCAUGAUU